CCAUGCAUAGAGUUAGAGAAAUAAGAAACUACCGAGGGAAAGAAAAAUAAAAAGGAAGGAGAGAAACAUUAUUCAUACAGGAGAAAUUUAUAGAACGAAGGAUGGAAAUUAGGGAUUCAAAUAACUGCAAUCAGGAUCGAGGGUAAUUUAAGAGACAGAAUCGGGAGUUGAUUUGAUUAUCUAUCAUUUUCAGGAAAAAAUAUCGCUGAUGUUUUGGUUGAUAUGAGUUUUAGAAACUCCACGUGUUAUCAGGGUUGGCGGCUGACGCAUUAUAGCAACCUUCUCCUCCUCAUCAUUUUGCAUGUAGACCAAUGUAUAACAUAUAGAGUGGAGAGAGCGUCUCAAUACAAUUCAAAAUGUUUUGAAAUAUGAAACAGAUUUAUGUUGAUGUUUGAGUUUAUAUUAUAUGGAUGUUUUAUGAA